AACCUAGCACACCUGCGGUGUGUACCUGCGGAGGGAUCAUAACUGGUUAAACUUUAUAAACACCAGAGUUUCAAACUCUGUGUUUGCAAACAAAAAAACACCCUUCAAAACAGCUAUUCAGUGUCUGAAUUAACUAGUUUAAUAUAAAAACAACUUUCAGCAACGGAUCU
rnacentral:misc_RNA from 1 species